CUUGAACCUUCCCGCUGCUGUCACCCAGGCAGUAGCCUCUUUGGCGUCUGGUGGCUGGAGGCCUCCCGUGGUCUGGAGGGACCACUUAAGCCCACCUACUCCCGCCUCCACCUGCAGGGUCCUCCCCUCCCCCACCACUCACUGCCCCGCGCAGAGCGUAGAGAGCCACACUGCGCAUGCUCCUCAGGGGAGGGCUGCCUGCAGCGCGACGCGGGCGGGCGGGUGGUGGGGAUUCCAUUCAAGGGACACCUCGGUAGCAGCCACCUGGCCACGACAGCGUCCGCGUCCCAGACUCUGCCCGACUCCGGGCUCGUCCGAACUCGGGCAUAACCUAGAAAGCCAUCUUCGCAUUCCCAGAAUGACUUCCCCAGCUGAGGAAUUCGGCGUUCAGGGUUGCGGCUUUCUUCUGUGCUUUUAUGAGAGCCCCCGCUCAAGGCAUCUUCUACAAUUUGUUGAGUUGGAAGAGAAACAAGGCAAAUGGCAGGAAAAUCAAAUGAGAUCAUGACUUCACCAGAGCAAAACCGAGAUCCCUCGCCCCCAGUGAAAGCAAACAAAAGCUGGAAGAGAACGAGUUCGACCUGAUCUCCUCCGCCUUCUCCACCCCCAUCUCCAGGCCCAGACCCGGAGACGCCGGGGUUCAGAGGGGAGACUCAGAGUCCCAGAGCGCCCUCCACCCCGAGAAAGACCCAGAGCUGCCCUUGGGAUUCCAGGACAAGGAACCAGAGGAGUGUCCUCUAAGGAGGCUGCUGGGCGGGAUCACGAUAAGCGUCCAGGGACCGUGCCCUCCAGCUCCGCUGCUCCACCCAUGGCCAUCUGGGACUUGCUGGGACCAACAAAUUGAGGCAGACGUGGUGGCCCUCCAGCUUCGGAACCAUCGUUCACCCUGCAUCUGUCUUUGCUUUCACGUUCUUGGAAUCUCAAGACCUCAGAGGGUGAAGAGGGGGCCAGCCUCCUAGAAGAUGGACGGGAGCCAUGGCACCUGAGCCGGAGCCAGACUGCUGCUGGCCACGCGAGGGCAGCCAUCUGGACCCUCCAGCCCUCGUCGAGUGGUCAGGUGACCACGGUCACACGCAUGAGCCCAGGAGAGGCCAGCAGAACCACCCAGUGUGCCAGUAAGACACGACCAGCUGGCCCUUUCCUGGAGCCAUCAAGGCUUGGGUGGUUUGUUACACAGCAGCUAGAGCUCCAAUCAUUGUUAACACAGUGAAAGCGGAGGCUCGGCCUUGAAACCACAGCCGUAAAGAGGAUUCCAGCAUGACACAGGGAUGACAGCACUUUCUGGAGGCUUUGCCCGAACACCCCUACUGCGUCCUUAGCACAUUCAUUAGGAUUCCGGGAGCCCAACCCUGCUUUGGCUUUUCGCUUGCACGUUAAAUAUUUGACCACCAUUUCCCACCUGAAAGAAAGAGCUACCUUUAGCACUGGGGACACAGAUACAUUUGGCACAAUAAUGUCUUCUAAGAACUCUCAGGACAACAAAGGAGGUAGACAAGAACCUUAUUGUAUUCGCUCAGCAAAUAUCUGUGUCCCAGGCACUAUGCAGAGGGCUGGGAAUACAAUGAUAGGAAAGCCACAAAUCCAGACUCACAGGGUCGGAGCCUGGCCCUGAAGGGGACGCUGCUGAAAAGAAAAUGCAUUAACGGAUAAUGGCAAACAGUGCUAAAUGCUGUGAAGCAGCAGCCCAGAUGGCUCUGGAAGAGAAUUAGUCUGGUGAGAGGAGGCCAGAAAGGUUUUACUGGAGGAAGAGCAUUUCGCACAAAGACUCAAAAGAGCAGAUGAAGUGCCUGGCCAAAGCGGAGGGGAAGAAGGUUCCAGGCCCGAGGGAAUAUGGCGGUGGCCCUCACCAGGAGCAGUUAGGUUAACCUAGAACCCAACUCUAUUGUACCUUUAGACACAGAGUGGCUUUUGCCUGGUUUUACCAUACAUUGAAUUUUCCUGGAAUGCAAGGACCAUGCCAGUUGAGAGAAGGCUGAGGUGGAUUUGCUUGGGGAUUCACACUGGUCACCCUCCUGGAGGGAGAGCACUGGCAGCAACUCCACUCCACGUGCUGGCGGCACAUGAGCGGUCAACACCCCACACCUAGACCUGCCCGCACGUGGAGCGGUCCCUCUCACCUGUUUCUACCUGUUCUGCUCAAGCACCUGCCUCCUUCAUUGGGACUUGCAGCAUUAUAAUAUAUAUGGUUUUAUUAUACAUUCCACUUAUUCUUCCUUAUUUGAGAGUUUCAGAAUGACAUGUGUAUGUUUUCAAUCCAAUGAGUAGGUAGGUUAUAUUAUUUAUGAGGUUCAUUUUGGGGUAGACAAAGCAGCCCUGGAUCUGAUGAGGUUAAAACCACAGGUUAAGACCUGCCUUUCGCUGUGGGACAGGGAGUUGGGCUGGUGUAAGAACUACCAGGAGGAAGGGGGUUGGAGCCCAGAGACCUGGGAGCAGGGUGGGACCAGAUGAGGCUGGCAGAGGACUGGGGACAUCACAACCCUCGACUCUGCCGGAGGGGAUGCGAAAAGGUACCAUCUGGUGGUACCUCCGAGGUGCAACAUGGAACAUCACCCGAAACAGCCAGUCCGUUCCUAGGCAAGACCCAAGAGAAGUGGAAACAUGUCCUGAACACAGAUGUUCACAGCAGCACUAUUCGUAUGAGCCCAAAAGAAGAAACAACUAAAAUGCCCAUCAACUAGUGAAUGCAUGAACCAAAGAGUAGGUUCUUCAUAUAAUGGAAUAUUAUUCAGCCACAGAAAGGAAUGAACUACUGAUACAUACUGUGAUAUGGACGAACCGUGAAAACGCUCUGCUGAGUGAAAGAAGCCAGACGCAAAAGGCCACAGAGUAUGCAGUUCAGUUUACAUGAAAUGUCCAGAAGAGGCAAAUCCACAGAAGCAGAAAGAAGAUUUGGGGUUGCCAGAGGCUGGGGCUGAGGAGGUGAUGGAAAGUGACUGACAGCGGGUCUGGAGUUUCCUUGGCGGGCGAUGGAAAUAUUUUGGACUUAAAGAGUGGUGAGAAUGGUGCGACUUUGUUAAUAUUGUAAGUAAAACAACAUCAACAGUGAUAAAGACUGGAUGGUAUGCCUUAAAGGGGUGACUUUUAAUGGCAUUUGAGUUAGAUCUCAAAUAAAACCAACAGAGGACGCUGAAGAGAUAGACAGGGUCACCGCAUUGGAGGCAUCACGGCCCUAGUCGAAGAGUUUGAUUCUCAACCUCGGACUGGUGGGAGCCACUGACGGUUUUAGGCAUCACGGUGACAAUAUAGUUUUGCAGUUGAGAAAGAUCUCUGUGUAGAGUGGACUAGAGAUGGGCCGCUUCGAAGGCCACAAAAAGCCAGGUAUCUGGAGCCACACCUGGCUUCAGGCUUGAGCAGAAACAGCCCUCAGAGACGCACCCUGCAAUGCGGUUUCACCAGCCAUCUGGGCAACCCGUCGUGCAUUAAGCUUACCACCACCCUGACGCCCGCACGCAGCUCCUUCAACCGCAUUUCCUCGCCUCGUGGAGACAACAGCCGGGUCUUAACGCCCCCUGACACGGAACCACCGUCCCGCCUCCACCAGAAAACGCCCUGAUCUGACCCCAGCCGCAGAGAUCUGACCCCUCCCGUUUCUCACAGCCUCCCCGCGAGGCUUUAGCGCUUCUCCACGGGAGACCGAGGUUCACAGGGAUCUCACGGACUUGACCCAGAAGUCCCACAGCCACACAAGGGCUGGCUGGCUUCUCAUCUCAGGUCUAUUUGAACACAACCACUGCACAAGGUGGGUUCAGGCCAACUCGUAGCGUGAGGACUUUAUUUCACAGUCAGUAAAGUCGUUCCUUCUCUUCCUGCACCAUAAAACUCCUAAA
rnacentral:lncRNA from 1 species